GUUCGGAGGCUCCUGCAUCAGCUUCGGGGCUUCGGCUAUCUCAUACAAUACUUCUACUUGAGGGCUUCAGCUAACUUCAACCAGCUUCAGCAUCAUGGCUUUGGCUCAUAGGCCUCAGCAUGUGGACCUCAGUUACAUUCACAGGCCUCGGUAAAAAUCGUCUCAGCUAGUGGACUUUGACUUGAAGAGCUUCUGCCAUAGCCCACCUCGGCAAUAUAUGCCACCUCGACUGGAGUGCCACGUGGUUCGGCUUGAGUGGGCCAUUGGCCCAGGUAGGUUGGCCAAGUAUGACAACACACAAUAGAGUCUGUGCGGAGAGAGAGUCAAGGGCAGAAGGGUGCGCCCUCGCGGAGCUCUGGCUCAGGCCUGAAUUUGAAUUAUGAGUCUAUGAAUACUCAGUCACAUCCACAGAUCCCAGACUAUGGUACCAUAGAUUGAUACUUCACGUUAAUAUCGGAAAACGGCCUCGCGAUGAGUGAAAUUGAGGAGCUGGAGCACAAAUUCCAUAUCCACCCAUUUACGAAAAGAUGUGAAGAAGAGUGUGACAGUUCUCAUGUGGGCUUUGCGCAAUUCCGGUGGAAGGAAAAUUUCCAUAUUCAUCAACCAGCUCAGAAGAUUCUCAUGGACGCGAGUCAGUACUAUAUUUCUUGGCUCUAUUUGGUUUUUCGAGUAACUGUUUAUUUGUAUUUUCCAGGAGAUGAUGGUUCAGAUUGAUUGAAUGUUGUUUAUUAAGAUUUGGCUUCCACUGGAUGUAGGAUUUGCCCAUUAUCAAACAAUGUGAUUUAUAUUUAGUUUUAUUAUUUGGUGUUUU